UUUGCCAGGAAACUACGAGCCUCAGCUUAAAACCCAAAGGACUUGGCGGUGCUUUAGACCCAACUAGAGGAGCCUGUUCUAGAACCGAUGAUCCCCGUUCAACCUCACCCCUUCUUGCUCUCAACUGCCUAUAUACCGCCGUCGUCAGCUUACCCUGUGAAGGUAUCACAGUAGGCUAAAUUGGCUCACCCCUAAAACGCCAGGUCGAGGUGUAGCAUAUGAAGGGGGAAGAAAUGGGCUACAUUCACUGACCCAGUGCAAACGAACAAUGCCUUGAAACAGACAUUCAAAGGAGGAUUUAGCAGUAAGGGGGAGAAUAGAGUGCCCCCCUGAAGCCGGCCCUGAAGCGCGCACACACCGCCCGUCACCCUCCCCUAUUAUCUAGACCUGCUGAAUAAAGCAACCAAAAUAAAGAGGAGAUAAGUCGUAACAUGGUAAGUGUACUGGAAAGUGUACUUGAGAAAAC
rnacentral:rRNA from 1 species